GUAUUUAUUAGAUAAAAACCAUUACUCGCAGGAGUUUUUGUGGUGAUUCAUAAUAACUGUUCGAAUCGCAUGCCGCAUGGCGGCGAUAGAUCAUUCAAAUUUCUGCCCUAUCAGCUCUCGACGGUAGUGUAGUGGACUACCGUGGCAUUAACGGGUAACGGAGAAUUAGGGUUCGAUUCCGGAGAGGGAGCCUGAGAAACGGCUACCACAUCCAAGGAAGGCAGCAGGCGCGCAAAUUACCCAAUCCUGAUACAGGGAGGUAGUGACAAAAAAUAACAAUACCGGGCAUUUUAUGUCUGGUAAUUGGAAUGAGUACAAUUUAAAUCCCUUAACGAGGAUCAAUUGGAGGGCAAGUCUGGUGCCAGCAGCCGCGGUAAUUCCAGCUCCAAUAGCGUAUAUUAAAGUUGUUGCAGUUAAAAAGCUCGUAGUUGGAUUUCUGGUAUGGUGCGCCUGGCCCACGGUUGCAAAACCGCGAGUGUCGGUGUGCGCCUGCCAUCUUUCUAGUUAACUGGACGCACUUAACUGGGCGGUCAGCGAUCUAGAUCUUUUACUUUGAAAAAAUUAGAGUGUUUAAAG
rnacentral:rRNA from 1 species